ACAGGAACUUUUCUGCAAUUCAACAGAACAGACUCUGCUGCAGGAACUUCUUUUAUUUUAAGGAUAAAUUUUCUAACAGUGUAGCAGCUCCUUGCAUUCCCUGAAAGCUGCCCAGCAAAUGGGAUUCGAUCGAAGAGAUUCACCAUUAGGGGUACGAGAGAGUUCUGGCUUACUCAAACGUGAUACUCCGACUAGUGGGAACAUGCCUUUUAAAUACUGCCCUCAUCUUCGGGCCGAAAACAGUAUACCAGUAGCGUAUACGUAGCGAAUAAUGAGCGAGAGAGAAGUCAAUCUUCCGCCUGAACUCGUCCGUCUGCGAUCAAGAUGGACGUUCCGUAUAUAGAUUCUGCUUUCGGGACGUCCGCUCCCAGAUAAGCAACACUCUCGGCCUAUACCCAUCAGUAAAGAAGUCUCGAACUUUAUCGGUUUGCCGCUCAAGACUUUGAGGAUUUUUUGUGCAUCCCUUCGGCCCCGGACGUUGCUUUCCGUGUCGGGGAUGCGGGAGCGAGGAAGACUAGAUCGGGCCGUAACCCUCGCCGCGGCACUGGUUACCACUCAGCCGACUAUCAGCUUACAGUUGCAGCGCUGGACGUGGCCGCCCGGAGCGGUAUGGUUUUCGCGAUGUACUACUAGGGGUAUCUGAUAUCCGCUCGUAGUGAAGCUGAGCGGCUUGGACUGAGUCUCUACCAAUGACAAGAACUUAUUGCUAGAGUCACAAAAUCGCUGAUCUCCAGUAUGAGCAAGCAGCAAUUAACACUGCUAUGCACAAGGGCAAGGAGGGUUAAAGACUAGAUGCUCUCAAGAUGAUUGAGAAAGGGGCAGCUACUCGCCUACUGAGCUGGACUUCUCAUUCUCAAUAAGCUUCCUUGCGAAGGUAAGGACUUGUUUAUGGACACUUUUCAUUAUUUGAAAUCUGUUCCAAGUCCUCAGCAAUGUGUAAUAUUGAGGUGUUCAUGUGCCAAAAAAAAAAAAAAAAAAAAAAAACUACCCUUUCAUAUCA